UUCCCCUUUAAAAAUGUCAUAGCAGUUUUUGUGUUUUCAAAUGUUUGGAUAUCAUCAGGAAAAAAUAUUUUACUUCUAGCAGGAAAUAACAAGUGUACUUUUUUUUUUUUCCUUGAGUUUUUUUAUCAAUGGUAGAAAUCCCUUUCUUUUAGUCACUACUGAAGUGGAGUAAUGAUUGUUAAAUCUUAUGCUGUCAUUUUAUGUUUGUUGGAGAAUUAGACCAUGCUGUUUUUAAUAUCCGUUCUUUAUCCUGACUGGAGAAGAUUCAACAAUUGUGGAUGUCAGUGGAGAGUUACCCUUCAAAGAAGCCACCAGGGAUCUGUGUGCUCUUUCGAUACCAAAAGACAUAGAUUCAGGUACUGGUCAUGGCUGAAAAUGGUCCUUGGACGUAUUCAUUUACCUGGUGAACAAAAAAACACAGAAACCAGCACCUGGUGCAAUUUCUACAAAAGUCUGGUGGACAGUGAAAAAUGCCUAAAUGUUACACUCCUUGCCAUGAAAAUGUUCAGCGUCUUUCGCAGCACUUACAUGUAUGAUCACUCAUUUUCCUUGUACACAAAAAAGAACCCUCAAUUGUCAUUUGAUACACAUUUAAACAAUUUCAACUUCAAAAACCAACACCAUCUGUGACAAGCUUGUUACUGAAAAGAGAUUUUUAGACCUCUAUUUCAUAUUCGUAUGUCUCUUUGGUAGUGAAGCUUGAAGUAAGCAUACUGUCUGCCUUGAACAUAAAUAAAUAAGCAAAGGUUUUCUCCGACUAAAUGAACAUAAUCACUAUACCUCUCAACUUCUUUGCUCAACAAUUCUGGAGACAGGCAGAAGUAAUGGGGGCCAAAAGUCACAAAUCAGGAGCAAUUUUUAACAUUACUCUAAUUUACAUAAAUGUUGUUAGGACAACACAUUUUGCAUCAACGUACAUUUUCUUUCUUUUUUUAAAGUAGCAUAGGUACAUCUACUGCAAUAGAAAAGAAAGUAAACCAAACUUAGUUUGUUAAUGUUUGACAUUACUGACUGACGUUAAGUUGGUGUAAAAAUAUGAGGCUCUCCUUGACGGAGUUACACAUUUCUUCACAAUAUCCCCUAUGUCUCUAUUCUUGGUUGACCCCCCUCUCAUCCUUGGUUGUUUUAAUUCCCUAUAAAUUAGGCACUCAUACAUUUAGAUACUGUUUAUUAACAGCGCAGGUUUCAAAUUGUCAUAAUUUCCUACAUUUGUAGGAUGAAUACGUCUUUGUAGUUCAGCAUGAAUUUGUGCACUUGGGGGGGCUUGAUGCAUUUAUGUAAACAAUGCAUGAUAAUCUUGACAUUCACUGACACUGAGUGUAUGAGUUGAACAUUUCAUCAUCUAAGAAAAAAAUGCUAAACUGGAAGUGGUGGAAGGGAGGAACCCCAUCAUAUAUGCACCAAGGAUGCUCCCUGUUAGAUUAGCUUAUUCUAAGAACAUAUCAAUUGUUUUGAGUGGCUGUAGCAUUUAAUCUGUAAGAAUACUAGCAUGCCCAAUUCCCAUCACCAUGUUAGUGCAAACAUUUAAAAAAGGAUUCACUUCUGGCCUUAAAAUAUUUAUUGAAUGUAUAUUGAAAAUUGCUUUCCGAGAGUCUGACACUGCUUUUGUUUUCAGAUGGCUGUACAUUAUCCCAGAAAGUAUUUCUUAAAGAUAUCUUCUUUUAUCAGUUCAGAGGGUCAUGUGUAGUAAAGGUGAACACAAAAUGUGGAAUUGGAUCAGUGUGUGAAGUAAUCUAAUUUUUUGUUUGUAACAGAAUUUCGAACUGAUACAAUUUGCUUAUUUCCAGAUAA